UUGCUCAAGAAGUCGGGAAAUCUCGUCAGGAAUCCCUUCAACAUCAUCUUCUUCCGCUUCGAAUACAGGGAAUUCAAAAUUGGGAGAUGACGUUGGAUCAUUAUGUUCAAUGGGUUUAAGAAACAACCUGCAUAAUGAUUUUGAUAUGAAAAGCUUUUUGGAAAACAAACAAGACAAUCGUUAUGCAGAUGAAAAGAUUGCUU
rnacentral:lncRNA from 1 species